AUGCACCACUCUUACGCCGCGAUUCCUUCGCGUCAUCCGCACUCGCCUGGCGACUGCACGCUAAGUUUCGCUAGCC
rnacentral:sRNA from 1 species